UACGUAGGGGGCGAGCGUUGUCCGGAAUCAUUGGGCGUAAAGCGCGUGUAGGCGGCUCGGUAAGUCUGCUGUGAAAAGUCCAGGGCUCAACCCUGGGAUGCCGGUGGAUACUGUCGAGCUCGAGUCCGGAAGAGGCGAGUGGAAUUCCUGGUGUAGCGGUGAAAUGCGCAGAUAUCAGGAGGAACACCAAUGGCGAAGGCAGCUCGCUGGGACGUGACUGACGCUGAGACGCGAAAGCGUGGGGGAGCAAACAGG
rnacentral:rRNA from 1 species